rnacentral:rRNA from 1 species
CACGUGGGUAAUCUGCCCUGCACUUCGGGAUAAGCCUGGGAAACUGGGUCUAAUACCGGAUAUGAACUCCUGCCGCAUGGUGGGGGUUGGAAAGUUUUUCGGUGCAGGAUGAGCCCGCGGCCUAUCAGCUUGUUGGUGGGGUAAUGGCCUACCAAGGCGACGACGGGUAGCCGGCCUGAGAGGGUGAUCGGCCACACUGGGACUGAGACACGGCCCAGACUCCUACGGGAGGCAGCAGUGGGGAAUAUUGCACAAUGGGCGAAAGCCUGAUGCAGCGACGCCGCGUGGGGGAUGACGGUCUUCGGAUUGUAAACCCCUUUCAGUAGGGACGAAGCGCAAGUGACGGUACCUGCAGAAGAAGCACCGGCUAACUACGUGCCAGCAGCCGCGGUAAUACGUAGGGUGCGAGCGUUGUCCGGAAUUACUGGGCGUAAAGAGCUCGUAGGCGGUUUGUCACGUCGUCUGUGAAAUCCCUCGGCUUAACCGGGGGCGUGCAGGCGAUACGGGCAGACUUGAGUACUACAGGGGAGACUGGAAUUCCUGGUGUAGCGGUGAAAUGCGCAGAUAUCAGGAGGAACACCGGUGGCGAAGGCGGGUCUCUGGGUAGUAACUGACGCUGAGGAGCGAAAGCAUGGGUAGCGAACAGGAUUAGAUACCCUGGUAGUCCAUGCCGUAAACGGUGGGCGCUAGGUGUGGGG